AUCAGUUUAGCUCAGCGGCAUAAGCACCUGCCUUGCAAGCAGGCGGUUGUGAGUUUGAUCCCCAAUACCGAUA
rfam:Cavia porcellus supercont2_115 genomic scaffold, whole genome shotgun sequence.